rnacentral:lncRNA from 1 species
CACCCCAGGGAGUGCCCACAUUUUAGCUUGCUUGUUGCUGGGGAAAAGACUUGCUGCUUUGUGUUUCAUUUGAUGAAGAGCUUCUUUUCAUUUAGUCAGUCACUUAUUUCCAGAGAUUUCCUGGUGAUGUUGCCUCACAUUUAUUUGUGGAAAUGCCAGUAUGUUUUAAGCUUGCAGCUUCCAUAAGUCAGGAUUCCAGUCACAGCUUAGCUGGAUCCUCUCAGAAGGCUACGAUCAAGGUGUCAGCCAGACUGAGUUCUCAUCAGAGGCUCGACUAGGAGAGGAUCUGCUUCCAAGUUCCCUCAGGUUGUUGGAAGGAUUCAUUUUCUUGUGGCUAAGCUCACAGGAGCUUUCUUCUUCAAGGGCAUCAGGAGAGUGGAGAGCGAGUCUACUCAAAGACUUCUAUACAAAUCAUAAGGUAAUCACAUGAGGGACAUACCAUCAUCUUUGCCAUAUUCUGUUGGUUACAAACAAGUCACCAGUUCCACCUGCACUCAAGGGGAGGAGAUUAUACAGGGUGAACAUGGGGGCCAUCCUAGAAUUCUGCCCACUUUACAGUUGAAACAGUAUUUUUUAAAAUGCCAAUGAAAUCCAAGAUAGACAGUUUAUCUUGGAUAAACUUUUAGCACCUUUUGAUUAACAUACCUGUUGGACUUUACAACUGUAAGAUUAGUAAGCACAAGAUUCCCCAGUAUUUCAAGGAUUUAAAGGGAACAUGGUAAAAAGGUACUCUUUGCUAUGCAAAAUCUAGCCAUCUAGCAUUGCUGUGGCCCUGGCCAGUUUGCAGCUCUGGCCAAAAGAGGGCUGCUGAGUCCAGCCCUGUCCACAGUGUAUACGGGCACACCUGACUACAUCAUGCACAGCAAUCCUGUUUGUGGCACCACUGAUGAAUUACCCCUAUUCAAGUGAACAGGCAUUGAGACCCUAAGGGGACCACAGGGUCUGGUUCAUUCACCACAAACACAGUCUUCCUUGAAUGUUAGCAAUGAGUUUAGUCAUCUCAUUAGGAGACUUGAACAGAAGUGAAGGUAAACACUAUUCAUGUCAGAAAAAAAUAUAACGUGGUAGGUAGUAAGAUAUGUAAACAAAGGACUACAGUUCUCUGCCUUUUGAAAGCAUACCUGUGCUACUUGUCUGAAGUAAAAAAAAAAAACAACUGUGCAUUAUUCUGUAUGAAGCAUCUUUUGCAUGUGUUCAUGUGUAUAAACAGGAUUAUGGGUUAUGAUGUAGGAAUUGAGGAUAAACUACAUUUUAUAUUUUUUCAUAUUGUGGAAAGAAGAAAUAAACUAUACUCCUGUGUUAGCUGGAUUCUCUGAGAAGCAGAUGCUGAAAUUGAAUUAGAAGGGCAAAAGGUAUAUUGGGAAGUAACACCUGAGAGGAUGCAGGAUUUGGCAAAGAAUGUUGUGUCUGCACAACUCUACGUGACCCACAAAAGUCAUACAUCUGGCCUUUAAUUUUUUAAAAGAAUCAAGAAGCUCUAUGGUUUUAUAGUAUCUGGCUCUUGUUUAUAAUGAUUAGAACUAUCUCACAGAACCUCAGGGACUUAGGCAAAUUCUCAGAGGUUGUCUAUGCCAACCCUUCAUUGUUAGACAGGGAUGCAUCAAAUCACCCUGAGUGUGGGGAACAUUUCCACCUUUGCGAUGGCCCAGGUAACUGGUUUUACAAAAUCCUUUGUUCAGCUGUUUCACUAAGAGGUUGUAGACAUUGGAGUCUUCCUAACUAAAUCACGUCUACUCCAGAUUAAGAGUAGGAUAGUAUUCUCUGGUGGCUACUUUCUUUUUGCCAGUCCCUCACAUGUUGGGGUUCACUAAUAUCUUCUUCUCUUCUUUCUUAUGAGUCUUCCCAAGAACUCAUUCAGCCCAUAAUGUCAAUAGUGCCAAGGUUGAGAAAUCCUGCUGUAUAGAGACAACUCCCAUUUCACAUCCUCUGCCCAGGUUUCACUCCCAGGCUCCACAUGCCAAGAUGAGGAAUAUUUAAUCUAUAUUCUAAAUAGAGUAAAAAGCAAGGUCAUCAGAUGAAAAGGUGUUGGGAGCAAGACUGGCUUAUUCCAUUAAGCAUAGUAGUCUAAGUGCCUGCUUGGGACCCACAAUAUUUUCAAGGGCCCAUGAAAAAUGUUUUAAUUUUAAUUUCUUUUGAAAUCAGGAGGAAAAAAUGAAUAUUGUAACAAUGAAUACAUAAUAAUAAAUCACACUUGGAUUGUGUUUGUCUUUAUAAAAAAAAAAAAAAA